rnacentral:rRNA from 1 species
UACGAGGGGGGCAAGCGUUUGUUCGGAAUUAUUGGGCGUAAAGGGUGCGUAGGCGGUUUGGUAAGUCUUAUGUGAAAUCUACAGGCUCAACUUGUAGUCUGCAUGAGAAACUGCCGGGCUUGAGUAUGGGAGAGGUGAGUGGAAUUCCUGGUGUAGCGGUGAAAAUGCGCAGAUAUCAGGAAGAACACCCGUGGCUAAGGCGGCUCUCUAGUACGGUACUGACGCUGAGACGCGAAAAGCGUGGGGAGCGAACAGG